rnacentral:tRNA from 1 species
GGGGCUGUAGCUCAGUGGUAGAGCGCUUGCCUAGCACGUGAGGCCCUGAGUUCGAUCCUCAGCACCACA